rnacentral:rRNA from 1 species
GAGUUUGAUCAUGGCUCAGGACGAACGCUGGCGGCGUGCCUAACACAUGCAAGUCGAGCGAUGAAGCUCCUUCGGGAGUGGAUUAGCGGCGGACGGGUGAGUAACACGUGGGUAACCUGCCUCAUAGAGGGGAAUAGCCUCCCGAAAGGGAGAUUAAUACCGCAUAAUGUAUGAGAAUCGCAUGAUUUUUGUACCAAAGGAGCAAUCCGCUAUGAGAUGGACCCGCGGCGCAUUAGCUAGUUGGUGAGGUAAAGGCUCACCAAGGCUACGAUGCGUAGCCGACCUGAGAGGGUGAUCGGCCACAUUGGAACUGAGACACGGUCCAGACUCCUACGGGAGGCAGCAGUGGGGAAUAUUGCGCAAUGGGGGAAACCCUGACGCAGCAACGCCGCGUGAAUGAAGAAGGCCUUAGGGUUGUAAAGUUCUGUCAUAUGGGAAGAUAAUGACGGUACCAUAUGAGGAAGCCACGGCUAACUACGUGCCAGCAGCCGCGGUAAUAC